CAGCAGCCGCGGGAAUACGGAGGAUCCAAGCGUUAUCCGGAAUCAUUGGGUUUAAAGGGUCCGUAGGCGGUCUUGUAAGUCAGUGGUGAAAGCCCAUCGCUCAACGGUGGAACGGCCUUUGAUACUGCAGGACUUGAAUUAUUGGGAAGUAACUAGAAUAUGUAGUGUAGCGGUGAAAUGCUUAGAGAUUACAUGGAAUACCAAUUGCGAAGGCAGGUUACUACCAAUUGAUUGACGCUGAUGGACGAAAGCGUGGGUAGCGAACAGGAUUAGAUACCCGUGUAGUCCCUGUCUCUUAUAC
rnacentral:rRNA from 1 species